CAAAAUGGCGGAAGAUUUAGCUCUCUUUAGUCGAAGUUUCUUGGAGUUAUCUCUUAAUACUGACGUGUCAUAGCGAUCUCGUGUAAAUAUUGAUUUUUAGAUCGCUGAUUUCUUGAUCGUGUUCAUCAGAAAAAACACCUUUCGUCGAGGAGAUGCCUCACGGUCAUAGCGUACUCAUAGUUCUCCUGCUUCUUUGUCAAAUCCUGGGCUUAAUAUUGUUCCUAAGAGGCUUCUUUCCGCUUAAGAAAGCCAUAGAUGGAAGAGCAACUAACGAGAAUCUUCCACCUGAGCCAUCAUUUGAAGGGAAAGGAGAUCUUUUGCCUCCGAAAUUUGGAAGAGUGGUCAUCAUGUUGAUAGAUGCACUGAGAGCAGAUUUUGUUUACAGUGAGCAGAUAAGGAUGCCUUUUACGCAAGAACUGAUCAGACUAAAUAAAUCAUUCAGUUUCAUGGCAAAGGCACAUCCACCAACUGUCACUAUGCCAAGAAUUAAGGCACUCACAACAGGUGGCAUACCAGGAUUUAUUGAUGUUGUUCUCAAUAUGGACUCAAGUUCUUUACAAGAAGACAGUUUGAUCAGUCAGAUGAAGUUUGCAAAUAAGAAGCUUGUUUUUUAUGGUGAUGAUACCUGGAUGAAGCUGUUUCCUGGACACUUUGAAAGAACUGAUGGAACCACAUCAUUUUUUGUGACUGAUUAUACGGAGGUAGAUAACAAUGUUACAAGACACAUUGGUAAAGAGUUGAGAAGCAAUGACUGGGAUGUUAUGAUUCUUCAUUACCUGGGCCUUGAUCAUAUAGGACAUAUUGCAGGACCUUCAAGUCCCUUAGUUGCACCAAAACUCUUAGAAAUGGACCAAGUUGUAAGUGAUAUCUACAAUGAAAUGCUCCAUUGGCAUCAACAAAGAAAGGCACCAUCAUUAUUGGUGCUGUGCGGUGAUCAUGGAAUGAGUGAGGUAGGCAGUCAUGGUGGAGCAUCUCUGGCAGAGACAAACACACCCCUUGUGUUUAUGAGCCCAUUAUUUGAGAAUGGUGGAGGUGAAGAGUUUUCAAAGAAACAAGUUCAACAAAUUGAUCUUGUUCCAACCUUGAGUCUUCUCCUGGGGCUUCCUGUACCUAAAAACAGCUUAGGAAUCCUUCUUCCCGAACUAUUCGGUUCCCAUAGUGCAAGAGAAAAGCUACGAGCAAUGCAGCUUAAUUCACACCAACUAUCUCAAGUGCUCAUCACAAAUGGGCAUUCUGUUGACAACAUGUGGGAACCUCAACACGCCCACAAGCUGCACUCUGAUUGGCUUAAAUCAGCAGAGGUUGACCUGAGUACUACAAGAAACCAGAUUACCUCAGCAACUAAGGUUGCUAAGCAGUACAUCCUGGCACUUCAGAAAAUGAGUGGUCAUGUGACAGCCUCUCUUUCAAACUACAACCUACAUGCUAUGAUUUACGGCAUAGCUAUUCUUUUUCAAACUCUAUACUGGUUCGUCUGUGGUUUGCUUCAACUUUCGUUUGACAUGAAGACAAGAGAUGAGAUGAAUUUUUCAGCAACAACUGUUAUUGUUGUGAGCGGCGCUGUUCUACUUGUUGCAGUUCUUCAUCUUUCUACUUGCUCCAGCACAGUGUUUGGGGGAAGCGACAUUUUGUGUUCAGUAACUAGCCUGGAAUCUAUCGUUCUCUCUUCUAUAUUUGCAUUGCUAUCAGGAGUCACACUUGGAUCUGUUCUGAUUGGUCUUUUUCAUCAUUUUUCAAGCUCUCAGCCUUUUUUCUGGGUGGUUACAUCAGCCCUUUCAUCGCUUUUUCAAAAUAAGACUUGCUGCUUUCUUGUCAUAGGAGUUUUCCUCCAUGUUGUCAGUCUCCCUUCGAGUAGUUUUGUAGAAGAAGAACAUCAAACUUGGUACCUUUUGACAUCUACUUUGUUCGUUAUCAUUUUUCUUGAGAAAAUCACAUCUUGUAAGCAUCUCAAUGAAACAGAACUUCACCAUCGUUUGGUGAUAAAGGACGAGGACUCGGGCAAUAACAAGACACACAAAUGUGGGAAAGGAAAGUCUUUUGAGCUUUACAGUAAACUUGGUGACGCUAGUUCUCACAAAAAUUCUCACCAUUCCACAAUAAGUAGACAUAACGCGGAUGGGCUUUGCUUGACGAGUCAAGACGUUGAUAGGAUAAGGACUGGAACUGAAAAUGCAAUCUCGAACCAAGAUCUUUCUCGGUCAGUUUCAACUUCAACGGGAUCUGGGAAUCACAUAAAUGAAAAAAGAGCUUUGGGACUGGAAGUCAUGACGUCCAAGAGGGGAAUUUUGUGGAAACUUCUGUUAUGUUUUGUACUUCUUGUUUUAGGAAGAUUGUCAAGGAGCUGGAACCAAACUGGAAUAAAAUGGGCAGAUAGACCUGAUAUUGGAGACUGGCUUGUGAAGCCUUACAACCGAAACGUGCUGUCUUUAAGUUAUUUUGUAUCGCUUCUCUUCAUCGUAGGAUUUCGCUACAACUGUCAAAAUGUGCUAAUCACCCUUGUCUUUGUUGUCGGUGUUGUAAGCGCCUACGUAUAUCGGACUGUCACAGGAAGUCUUCAGUUACCAUGGAUACCGAAUGAAUCUAUCACGAAGGGGGUCCCAGCAGCACGAUUGACGUAUUGUUGCGUGGCAAUAAUAGCAAUAGGGAAUGUUAUUAAUUUAUGUAGGAGAAAGAGAAACAGCAAUAAGAAAAAGACUUUCCAGGAAUAUAAUUUUGACGUCUGUGGAUCGUUAGAAGGGAUUCAAUCAGCUUUACUAUUGUUAGAAAUUCUCCUUCAGAGGCCUCACAACGCACCACUUUUAGCGGUCUUUGUGGUUCAGGAACAUAUCUUGAGGAAAUUGCUCUGGAAAAGUCAGGAGAACACAUGGCUUAUUGUACUCAGCUCUUUUUGGAUGGGACACGCUAUGUACUUUUCCUUGGGAAACUCCAACAGCCUUGCGUCAGUGGAUAUAUCAGCUGGCUAUGUGGGAUUAGAGGACCAUAUACCUGUUAUUGUGGGGCCCUUAACAUGUGUAGCUACUUACUGUGGGCUUUUACUUUGGCUAAUGGCAGCAGUGUUGUCUAUUGUGAGAAACGCUCGAGAUGUUAAGAGACGAUGCCUUACGUGCGGGCUGUUAUUAGUUCUGCGACACAAGCGGUAAGACCCGCGUGAUUCGAGCCGCCGAGUGAAGUGAGCGUGUAAGGGUUAUGGUACGUGUUAUUCUUCAGGGUCGUAUCCUAAAGGUUGCCCUGCACUGGGCAUGCACCAUUUGGUGACAGAAGACAUGGUCGACUGAAAAUCACCUGGUACCACACUGUCCUGGCUUAGCUCGGUGAGGUUACAGUAUUCUCUCCAUCAAGUGUGUUACGUUAUCUCACUCUGCCAGGCUCUGAUCCUCUGUUCCUACUGUACGUUGG
rnacentral:misc_RNA from 1 species